GUCAGGAUCUGGGGAAGAGUGCCAAGGCCGGGAGGUAUAUCAAGAACAAUCAUUUGCGGAAGCGUUCCAGGGACUAGAAGGCCUGAUCUCAGCACAAAACCCUGAUAAUUGAGCUCAAGUCCUCUCUCACCAUUUGGAAGUGGCUCAGCACAGUCAAGAAGCUCAAGGAACAGAGGUUACUGCUUCUGGGGACGCGCUUUGGCGUGGGAAGAAUCCUCCGCGAAAUCUACCAUGUCAAUGUGUCAGUGGUGUUGGUUGCAAACCAAGGAAAGGCGGUGCUUUUGCUCUCUGCUUCCUCUGUAAAGUUCUCCACCUUCAAUUUUCCUGGUCCCGAGGAAGAGAAGGAAGGUAAGAACACUCCACUCUGUUCCCGCACUCGGUCUCAAAGACCUUUCUGCAGACCCUAGAUAUGUUCAUUGCAAGCCCAGUCUCCGUCCUCCACCCAGUUUACUCCCCUGAAAGAACAGACUCCCAAACAGAUUAACUAUUGUCUGGCCACAGAGGCACAACCUAGAGCCCUUGUGGGGGUUACUGGUGUCAACCAAGAAAGAUGUGAGCUAGGAAGUGACAGAAAAGUGUGGGUUAUGGAAAGACUAAAAGACAUAGCAAUGGUAUACUGGCCUGUGGGUCCUUGAAGGUGUGGAAAACAAGCCAGCAUGGAUAGCGAUUGCUUAGGAUGGAUGGAUGGAUGGAUGGAUGGAUGGAUGGAUGGAUGGGAAUGAUGGCAGGAAGCUCAUAAGGAUCAUAAUAAUCAUAAUUACAGCACUCACCACGUGUGGACUUUUAAUUAUUACUCUGCACUAUGCUAAGCGCUUUACAAGCAUGUUCUCAGUUCAUCAUCAAAACUUCCCUUUUACAGAAGGGAAAACUAAGACUCAGCAAGACUGGGUAAUUUAGUCAAGGUCCCCCAGUUAAUAAGGCAGAACCAGGCUUGCCACUUAGGUCUGUGUAAUUCCAUAGACUAUGCUUCUUGGCUCAGGAUAAAGAAGACUGCUUUCCUGUGAAAGCUAUUGAUCUGUUGAGAACAUAUAACUGACCAAUCCAGAGCUUAUUGUCUUGAUGGACUCUAAGAACCUAGGAAGACCUGUAAUGAUGUGAUACGGACACAGUUCAUCCACUAUCCCCACCGAAGCUCUGAACUUACUGCUUUUACAUCCUCAGAGUUCAAGCUCCUGUGGGCAAACCAUCAAAUAUCCCAAAUCACCGAGGAAAGAAGAAACCCAUGCCUACAGAGCUUCUGGAAAAUGCUGUUGGCUCUGCAAGCAUCCCUUUCCCUAUCAGUAAGAGAGUAUGAAAAUCCUCUUAUGGAAGAAUAAAAUAAUACUGCUAAGACUAAUGCUAAUAGAGAAAUACAUUUAUUGGGACAUUACUAGUGUCCUAUGGCUGAGGUUCUGGAAUAUUCCAGAACAUUCUGUCGUUUUGUCUCUAACUCUGCCUCUGACCUGUUCCUGUAAAAGAUCAUGUGUUAGAGCUGAGCUUUGAGCUCCUAUUUUAGCUUUAGUUGUUAGAAAAUGCUUCUAUUAAGGAGUAAUGGGAGGAGUGAGGCUUUAAAAAUGGAAAUCAAGGGGUG